AAGAUUUUUGAUAACAGAAAAUUGCAUGUCAAAUUACAGAGAAAUUAAUGAGUUUAGUGUGAGGAGCUAACUGGUAGAGCAUCUCUGAUCAAGCAGGUGUUAUCUAUAUCCCUUGGGUAUUGGGCAAAUGGGUUAAAGCCUGUUGGAUUAAAAAUAGCUCUUGUUGGCUAGCCUAAGUUUUAAAAUGAAUUUGAUGAAAAGUAAUUAAAACUAAUUUGAUAUUGCAUAAUAGACUAAUCUGAUAUUAUAUAAUAUUAUUAAUUUAAAAACUAAUUUUAUGGGGUGGGGUGGAAUCAGCAUGUCCAUAUGAAUUACAUAUUAAAACCUGUCGGACAUUAAAUCUCAACAAAAAAAAUCUUUGAGUAUUUUAUAUGUUUUAAAAAAAAAUUGUGGUAGAUAGUGCAGACCCAUUCAUCUCUUGGUAGUAAUGAGUAGACAAGCAUCCAGGUACUUUUAGAUUAAUUAAUGAGUUCAAUGUAGGAAGGCUAGCUCAGUCUUAUCUGUAUCCUUUGGGGAUUAGACAGAAGAACUGCUGGUCAGUUUAUAGCAUAUUUGAUUUGAUGGCCAGCCUUUUAUUUUCAAAAUUAAUUUGGUAUAGAUUAAGGUGUUAAGACUAAUUUGAUAUUGUUUAAUAUGAUGGGCAUUCGACAAGGUCUAACACAACCAGCAUAGAAAUCUAUCAAUGAUGUAAUAUUUAUUAUAAUUAAUGCCUACAUCACAGGGGAUGGAUAAAUACUUUAAGGAAUGGAAAAAUCAUGGAAAUCUUAGAAUCAAGGUUGACAUGAUUUUCUUGCACUCUAAACUGUUCAAGAAAAUUGUAAUUUUUUGACGGGCGUAUCAUGCUGUGGCGCGGCACUUUAAUUGUGCUU